rnacentral:rRNA from 1 species
GACGAACGCUGGCGGCGUGCUUAACACAUGCAAGUCGAACGGAAAGGCACUGCUUUUGUGGGGUGCUCGAGUGGCGAACGGGUGAGUAACACGUGAGUAGCCUGCCCUUGACUUUGGGAUAACUUCAGGAAACUGGGGCUAAUACCGGAUAGGAGCUCCUGCUGCAUGGUGGGGGUUGGAAAGUUUCGGCGGUUGGGGAUGGACUCGCGGCUUAUCAGCUUGUUGGUGGGGUAGUGGCUUACCAAGGCUUUGACGGGUAGCCGGCCUGAGAGGGUGACCGGCCACAUUGGGACUGAGAUACGGCCCAGACUCCUACGGGAGGCAGCAGUGGGGAAUAUUGCACAAUGGGCGGAAGCCUGAUGCAGCAACGCCGCGUGCGGGAUGACGGCCUUCGGGUUGUAAACCGCUUUCGCCUGUGACGAAGCGUGAGUGACGGUAAUGGGUAAAGAAGCACCGGCUAACUACGUGCCAGCAGCCGCGGUGAUACGUAGGGUGCGAGCGUUGUCCGGAUUUAUUGGGCGUAAAGGGCUCGUAGGUGGUUGAUCGCGUCGGAAGUGUAAUCUUGGGGCUUAACCCUGAGCGUGCUUUCGAUACGGGUUGACUUGAGGAAGGUAGGGGAGAAUGGAAUUCCUGGUGGAGCGGUGGAAUGCGCAGAUAUCAGGAGGAACACCAGUGGCGAAGGCGGUUCUCUGGGCCUUUCCUGACGCUGAGGAGCGAAAGCGUGGGGAGCGAACAGGCUUAGAUACCCUGGUAGUCCACGCUGUAAACGGUGGGUACUAGGUGUGGGGUCCAUUCCACGGGUUCCGUGCCGUAGCUAACGCUUUAAGUACCCCGCCUGGGGAGUACGGCCGCAAGGCUAAAACUCAAAGGAAUUGACGGGGCCCCGCACAAGCGGCGGAGCAUGCGGAUUAAUUCGAUGCAACGCGUAGAACCUUACCUGGGUUUGACAUGGAUCGGGAGUGCUCAGAGAUGGGUGUGCCUCUUUUGGGGUCGGUUCACAGGUGGUGCAUGCCUGUCGUCAGCUCGUGUCGUGAGAUGUUGGGUUAAGUCCCGCAACGAGCGCAACCCUUGUUCACUGUUGCCAGCACGUUAUGGUGGGGACUCAGUGUAGACCGCCGGGGUCAACUCGGAGGAAGGUGGGGAUGACGUCAAGUCAUCAUGCCCCUUAUGUCCAGGGCUUCACGCAUGCUACAAUGGCUGGUACAGAGAGUGGCGAGCCUGUGAGGGUGAGCGAAUCUCGGAAAGCCGGUCUCAGUUCGGAUUGGGGUCUGCAACUCGACCUCAUGAAGUCGGAGUCGCUAGUAAUCGCAGAUCAGCAACGCUGCGGUGAAUACGUUCCCGGG